ACUGCAACCUCUGCCUCCCAGGUUCAAGUGAUUCUCCUGCCUCAGCCUCUUGAGUAGCUGGGAUUACAGGUGUGUGCUACCAUGCCCAGCUAAUUUUUUGUGUGUUUUUAGAAGAGACAGGGUUUCAUCAUGUUGGCUAGGCUGGUCUUGAACUCCUGACCUCAGGAAAUUGGCCCACCUUGGCCUCCCAAAGUUCUGGGAUUACAGGCAUGAGCCACCAGGCCCAGCCUUUUGUUGAAGAUUUUUGCAUCAAUUUUCAAGGAUAUUGGCCUGAAGUUGCCUUUUUUUGUUUUAUCUCUGUUAGGUUUUGGUAUCAGAAUGAUGCUGUUCUUACAUAAUGAGUUGGAGAGGAGUUUCUUCUUUUUAAUCUUUUGAAAUUGUUCUAGUAAAAAUAAUAUCAGCUUCUAUUUGUACAUCUGGUAGAAUUCAGCUGUGAGUAUGUCUGGUCCUGAGCUUCAUUUAGUUGGUAGGCUAUUUAUUACUAAUUCAAUAUUUUGAGCUUAUCUAUGUAUUUAGGGCUUUGAUUUUUUGUUUGUUUGUUUGUUUGUUUUGAGAUGGAGUUUCGCUCUUGUUGCCUAGGCUGGAGUGCAAUGGCUCGAUCUCGGCUCACCGCAACCUCCGCCUCCCAGGUUCAAGCAAUUCUCCUGCCUCAGCCUCCCGAGUAGCUGAGAUUACAGGCAUGCACCACUAUGCCUGGGUAAUUUUGUAUUUUUAGUAGUGACGGGGUUUCCCCAGGUUGAGGCUGGUCUCGAACUCCUGACCUCAGGUGAUCCACCCACCUCAGCCUCCCAAAGUGCUGGGAUUACAGGUGUGAGCCACCGCACUCAGCCCAGGGCUUUGAUUUUUGUGUGUGUGUGUUCAGUCUUGGGAGGAUGUGUUUGUUCAAGAAUUUUUUCAUUUCUUCUAGAUUUCGUUUGUUUGUUUGUUUAUAUGCAUAGCAGACUUCAGUAUAUUUUUGUGGGGUCAGUGCUAAUGUCUCUUUUUUUUAUUUCUAAUUGUGUUUAUUUGUAUCUUCUUCAUUAAUCUAGCUAGUAGUUUAUUUACCUUUUUUAAAAAAAUAGAUUUUAUACCUGGAUCUCUUGAUAUUUUGUAAUUUUUCAUGUCUAAAUCUCCUUCAGUUCAGAUCUGAUUUUGGUUAUUUCUUGUCUUUUGCUAGCUUAGGGGCUGAUUUGCUUUUGUUGCUCUCAGUCUUUUAUUUAUGAUGUCAGGUUGUUAAACUGAGAUCUUUUUAACUUUUUGAUCUGGGGAUUUAAUGCUAUAAAUUUUUCUUUUAACAUUGCUUUAGAUGUAUUGCAGGGAUUCUGGUGUGUUGUAUUUUUGUUCUUAUUUGUUUCAAAACACUUCUUGGUUUCUGCCUUAAUUUCAUUAUUUACCAAAAAGUUAUUCAAGUGUAGGCCAUUUAAUUUUUAUUUAAUUGUAUAGUUUCCAGUUGUUUUAUUGGUAUUGAAUCAUUUUUUUCUUAAGCUGUAAUCUGUGUGUGUGGUUUGUAUAAUUUUCGGAUUUUUGAAUUUGCUGAGAAUUGUUUUGUUUCUGAUUGUGUGGUCAAUUUUAGAGUAUGUGCCACAUGGUGAUGAGAAGAACAUAUAUUACGGUAUUUUUCGAUGAAGAGUUCUGUAGAUGUCUAUUAGGACUGUUUGGUCAAGUGUUGAGUUCAAGUCGUAAUAUUGUUGUUAAUUUUCUUCUUCAAUGAUCUGUCCAUUAGUGCUUGUCAGAUGUAGUCUCCGAUUAUUACUGUGUCAGAUUCUGAGUCUCUUCAUAGGUCUCUAAGAACUUGCUUUAUUCAUGUGAACCCAUGGAGUUUUUUUAUAACACCUUCCUCUCUUCUGCUUUUCCCCCCAUAAACAUUCUUUCAAGUGCACACAGUGUGCAAAAUUCAGAUGUCCAAGAGUUCAAGAACUUGUCCAGAGACCUGGCUGUUGUAAGACAAAAUAUAAAUUAGAAAUAAGAAGCUUUAUUCUCAUAUGUGAAAAUAAGGGAGGAUAACUUGCUGAUUUUUAUAAAAGGUUUAGAUUAUAUGUAUAUAUUUUUUCUGCUUUUUGAAAUAUAUGUAAAUCAUAUUAGCAAUAACACAAACCAUUUGUCAUUCUUUUUGACUCAGAAUUGUCUUUAUCUGGGACCUGAGAUUCAUUGCUUUCUUUUUGUCUUGGCAAAAUAUUGGUUUUUUUUUUGUCUUUAGUCUUUAAAGUAGACACAAAUUUGUUCAGAGUAAAGUUCAUUUCAAGAGCAUAAAGAAGUUGAGCACAAAGAUUGGAUUAAAUUUAGCAAUACAGAAUAAUAAAGACUAAAAGAUCCUGAGUAAGUUCUUUGGCAGAAACCUGAUUAUCCAGGGUGAUUAUUUGCUGGCUGACAUACUUACACUGCAAAAGCCAGAAGAGUUCAGUGUAUAGACUGAACAGUGGAGUCUGUUGUACUUGGGUUACUUCAGUACAGUUAGUAUAGUUAUGUGUAGUGUUUGUAGACAACCUGCAUUCAUAUAAACAGUAUUUUCUACAAUAGUAUGAAUUUAAGGCCACGUAUUUACUUAGAUUGAAUUCCUUAGUUAUUUUAAUAUUAUUCAUAUUUUUGAAAUAUAGUGUUUCAACUGAAGUAUAGUUCAGAUAAUUUUUUAAAAUCUUACAUACAUUAUGAGUAGUACAUAAAAUUAUUCAUACUUACAUAUUUGUAUCUGAUAUCCAAAAAAAUUUACCAUUAAAUCAUUAUAGUAGAUAUUAGUCUGACAUGCAUAUUAAUUUAUCCAAUGGGAAUAAAUUAUAGCAUAAAAUUAUGCUAUAAAAUUAUAGCAUAAUUUUAGUGUCAUAUAUUUUACCAAAUUAGCUUGCUACUAUUACAGGACAAAGACAAGUGAUAUGGCUACCCAAAAACCGUAAUUGCUCUCCAGUUAGCUAUGUUGCAAGCUCUAAUAUAUUCUACUAUAUUAACACAGUCAGAUUUCAAUUUUUAUAAAAAAGUGCUGGUGGAAGUUGUCAGAUAUAUUCCAAUAUAUCUCACAUUCAAUGGUUAGGAAAUAAGAGAACAGCAGAGAUGGAAGAUAAAUCUUUUAAAAUUCUGCUGAGAGCUGGGCGCUGUGGCUCAUGCCUGUAAUCCCAGCAUUUUGGGAGGCCAAGGGGGGUGGAUCACCUGAGGUCAGGAGUUUGAGACCAGCCUGGACAAUGUGGUGAAACCUCGUCUCUACCAAAAAUAACAGAAUUAGCCAGGUGUGGUGGUGUGUGUCUACAGUCCCAGUCAUUUGGGAGGCUGAGACAGGAGAAUUGCUUGAACCCGGGAGGCAGAGGUUGUAGUGAGCCUAGAUCACACCAUUGCACUCCAGCCAGGGCAACAAGAAUGAAACUCCUUGGCCGGGCGUGGCAGCUCACGCCUGUAAUCCCAGCACUUGGGAGGCCGAGGCAGGUGGAUCACGAGGUCAGGAGAUCGAGACCAUCUUGGCUAACAUGGUGAAACUCCAUCUCUACUAAAAAUACAAAAAAAAAUUAGCCGGGUGUGGUGGCACACGCCGAUAGUCCCAGCUACUCAGGAGGCUGAGGCAGGAGAAUGGCGUGAACCCAGAAGGCAGAGCUUACAGUGAGCCGAGAUCGCGCCACUGCACUCCAGCCUGGGCGACAGAGUGAGACUCUGUCCAAAAAAAAAAAAAAAAGAAUGGAACUCUAUCUCAAAAAAAAAAAAUUUUUUUUUUUGCUGAGAAUGUGCCCCCUUUAUUCAAUAAUGCUCAUGUUUCCCUUGCUGAGAGUAGCUAUGCACUUUGGGUGUUUGGAGAGAAAUUCUUCUUAGGGAAAUAUUUUCUGGCUGACUUGAUCAAUCUUAUAUCUAAUCUCAGUUUUUUCUUAAGACACUUUUAACUUUUUUCUCUCAACAUAAUCUUUCUCAGAAUGAGAGCAGUUUUUUCUCUCUAAUGCAUUGUGUGUCUGUUUGAGAAGCCCUAUUAGUAUCCCGUGGUGUCUGUGAAAGACGUGAGCUGUCACAGUGAGAACUCUCAGAGCUGUCUCUAUCUGGACUCAUGCUAAAACCCAGCAGUAUUUUUUUCAUGUCACCAUUAUAAAUAAAAACUGAGGCUGAAACAGUGCUCCCUUUUCUAUUAUUGUGAAGGUGCAAUUCUACCCAGGAGGCCUGCAGGCUCUCCUCCUGCUGCUCAGGCUUCACUGUCUGAUGUGCCACUGGAGUGCUGCUGUGGCAAAUGGGGUUCACCUAAGAUGUGAGUUUCCAGCUGUGAGCCCUGUGCUGUGGGCUGUGCCUCAGUGGCAGAUGGUGGGGUCAAGAGAGUACACUAGCCACCAAGAGAGGGAAAGCAGGAGUGCUCUAGCCCAGUGCUCAGGGAGUAGAGAGCUAUUGCUUUAAAAUGUAAAUAGCCAAAAAGAUAGCACCCGAAUCAACACUUUUUGUAGAAGAGUCAAAGCCUACCUUCAGUAGGCACCGGGGUUCAAGUUGCAAAACUACCUCCAGUCAUGAAGAUGUGAAAAGUUUAUUUUGUCAUUGAUUAUAACCAAUUAGCAUACAUGGAUGGCCUUCCCAACUACCAUGUGAAUUUAGGAUGAACUAUGUAUGACAUGGUGCUGUAAAUUCUACUUGUAGACAAAUUAUGGUCACUGUCUUUCUGUCUUUGCAAUCUCUUGAGCAAAUUGACUAUAAUGCAUGUCAUAUUCACAUGUAAUUGUGUAAUAAAACAAUUUUCUUUCUGUUC